GAUGAACGCUGGCGGCGUGCCUAAUACAUGCAAGUCGAGCGAACAGACGAGGAGCUUGCUCCUCUGACGUUAGCGGCGGACGGGUGAGUAACACGUGGAUAACCUACCUAUAAGACUGGGAUAACUUCGGGAAACCGGAGCUAAUACCGGAUAAUAUAUUGAACCGCAUUGUUCAAUAGUGAAAGACGGUUUUGCUGUCACUUAUAGAUUGAUCCGCGCCGCAUUAGCUAGUUGGUAAGGUAACGGCUUACAAAGGCAACGAUGCGUAGCCGACCUGAGAGGGUGAUCGGCCACACUGGAAAGGAGACACGGUCCAGACUCCUACGGGAGGCAGCAGUAGGGAAUCUUCCGCAAAGGGCGAAAGCAUGACGGAGCAACGCCGCGUGAGUGAUGAAGGUCUUCGGAUCGUAAAACUCUGUUAUUAGGGAAGAACAAAUGUGUAAGUAACUAUGCACGUCUUGACGGUACCUAAUCAGAAAGCCACGGCUAACUACGUG
rnacentral:rRNA from 1 species